AUGGGGAAAGCCGCUACAGAUUAUUUUGAGGAGCUGUUUUCGGCUAACCCAAGUCUUGAUCACGGCCAAGUCACUGAUUUGUUUGAGGCUGUUGUAACUCCGCAAAUAAAUGAUGUUUUAUGUGCGGAAUUCUCAGACAAGGAGAUUGGAGACGCUCUGUUCCAAAUUGGACCUCUAAAAGCGCCGGGUCCGGAUGGCUUCCCCGCGCAGUUUUUUCAGCGUAACUGGGGGACAAUGAAGGAAGGUAUAAUUGCUGCGGUAAAAAAUUUCUUCCAAAGUGGGAUAAUGCCUGAAAAUGUCAAUGAUACUAUCAUUGUAAUGAUCCCGAAAAUUGAUAACCCUGUGAAAAUCACGGAUUUCCGCCCCAUAAGUUUAUGUAAUGUGGUUUACAAAGUGGUCUCAAAAUGCUUAGUAAACCGGUUAAGGCCUGUUCUAGAUGAGAUUAUUUCGCCUUCGCAAAGUGCUUUUAUUCCUGGACGUAUGAUUACCGACAAUGCCUAUGUUGCCUUUGAAUGUAUUCAUCAUAUAAAGCAAGAGAAGGACCCUACCAGGAGUUAUUGUGCUUAUAAGCUUGAUCUCUCAAAAGCCUAUGAUAGAGUGGACUGGAAUUACCUUAGGCAAACGAUGCAAAAGCUUGACUUUGCUCACCGAUGGGUUGACUGGAUUAUGUCAUGUGUGACCUCGGUGAGAUACUCAGUAAAAUUCAAUGGAGUCAUCUUGGAUUCGUUUGCACCGUCGCGUGGUCUUCGGCAAGGUGAUCCGCUGUCCCCAUAUUUAUUCUUGUUUGUUGCUGACGGUCUCUCUGCUCUUAUCACUAAAGGGAUUGAUACCGGUAAUAUUUCUCCGCCGAAAAUUACUAGAAGUGCACUGGGAGUCUCACACUUAUUAUUCGCGGAUGACACGCUCUUGUUUUUCAAGUCGUGUGACCAAGAAGCACAAUAUAUUAAAAGCACUCUGGAAGUUUAUGCAAAUGCCACGGGGCAGCUGUUAAACCCUGCCAAAUGCUCCAUGAUGGUGGGUGGCUCAUGUCCGGAAGGAACCAGAGACGGAGUAAAAAAUAUUUUGCAAGUAACCACGACAGAGUUUGAAGAGAAAUAUUUGGGACUGCCCACUCCGGAUGGCCGUAUGUCAAAAGGAAAAUUUCAGAACCUGCAAGUAAAACUUUCAAAUCGAUUGUUUGCUUAUGAUGGGCACCCUACUCAAGCGGGAAAGGAAGUGUUAAUCCGUGCUGUUGCUCAAUCUAUCCCUACUUAUAUUAUGAGUGUGUUCAAACUCCCGUUGGAGGUAUGUGAUGAUCUAAACCGCAUGGUUAGGAACUAUUUUUGGGGUGCAGAGAAAGGGAAGAGGAAAACAUAUUGGUACGCAUGGGAGAAAAUGACUAGGCCAAGGAAACAAGGCGGCCUUGGUUUUAAAGACUUUCGUCUAUUUAAUCAAGCGCUCCUUGCUCGUCAGGCGUGGCGAAUAUUAGAGUUCCCAAACAGUUUAUGCUCAAGGCUCUUUAAAGCGAAGUAUUUCCCAAAUGGGCGCCUACUGGAUACGGUGUUCACUAGUAACCCAUCACCUACAUGGCAGGCCAUUGCCUAUGGUCUCGAACUUCUGAAAAAAGGCGUGGUCUGGAGAAUCGGAAAUGGUCAGAGUGUACGUAUAUGGAGAGAUCGAUGGAUAGCACGCGAGCCAACCGGAGGCUUGAUUUCACAGCGUGGUAGGUGCCGCCUAAAGUGGGUCUCGGAGCUUCUGAAUAUCCAUGGUAAUUGGGACUUUGACAAAAUAAAUCAGUUCUUUCUCCCGGUCGACAUUGUUGAAAUUCAGAAAAUAAAACCAUCUGCUCGGCUAGAGGAAGACUUUGUUGCUUGGGGGCCUGAAAAAAGUGGAGUUUUUACUGUACGUAGUGCGUAUAAACUGGCUAGUGAUGAAUGCUCAAAUCCUAAUGAAGUCUCUACAAGUUCCCGGCCGGAUGGAACAAGAGAAGCAUGGAAAUUUAUAUGGCAAAGUUCUGUACCACCGAAGGUUCAGUCUUUUGCUUGGAGGUUAGCUACAGAUUCGCUAGCAAAUUGGACAAAUAAAGUGAAAAGGAACUUGGAAGUCUCAGGUACAUGCCUUGUGUGUGGUAUGGAGGAGGAGGACUCGUUCCAUGUGUUUUGCACCUGUAAUCAUGCUGUGUUCCUAUGGAAGGCCAUGGCGAAGGAAUGGACAUUGCCGGACCGUCUAAGCAUCGUACAUGUUGGGCGUGAUUGGUUCCUUCAUCUCCUGUCGAAACUGCAUGAAGAGGAGAGAGCUAGGAUUAUGAUGCUAUUCUGGCGAAUCUCGUAUGUGCGUAACGAAAUUGUGCAUGCAAAACAGCCACCGCCCGUGGAUGUUUCUGUGCGCUUCCUGUCCAGCUAUCUGUCAUCCCUAAACUCUAUUCAUAUAUGCUCAAGUGAUGCUUUAGUGAAAGGAAAAAUGUCAGUUGCAUGUCUUCAGAUUCCCAAUCAGGACAUAUACAGAGUUGAUGAAGUGGGUGGUUCUUGGUCCGCUCCAGCAGUGGGCAGAGUCAAACUCAACACGGAUGCCUCGGUCCUGGGCUCUACGGCGGGAGCCGGAAUGAUCCCAAGGGAUCACGAAGGAGAAAUUGUUUUCAGUGCUUGCAGACUUCUCUAUGCAUGUGAUGAUGUGCUGGAGGCAGAGUUACUUGCAAUAAGGGAGGGAAUUUCUUUGGCCCUUCAGUGGAGCAUCUUACCAAUAGAUGUGGAAUCUGAUUGUUUAGAGGCUGUCAAUAUGAUUAAGACAGGGAAUAGCAACAAAUCUAAAUAUGCUUUCAUUAUCAGGGAGAUCAUUAGUAGUUUGGGAGAAAGGAAUUCUUGCAUUACUCAUAUUCGUCGGAGCUGUAAUAGGGUUAGUCAUGCCUUGGCAAAUUUUGGUAGGUUGCAACGCCGAACUUUGGUUUGGCUAGGCUCUGGUCCGGAUGAUGUUUUGGCACUUGUGGGACGAAUUGUAUUCUCUGAUACUUGA
rnacentral:rRNA from 1 species